GCCCGGCUAGCUCAGUCGGUAGAGCUUGAGACUCUUAAUCUCAGGGUCGUGGGUUCGAGCGUUGGGCG
rnacentral:tRNA from 1 species